GUUAGUUGGUGGUAUGUGUAGCUCUGUAUAGAUGUAGGGUUAGGUUGGUGGUAUGUAGUAGCUCGUAGGAUGUAGGGUUUGUUGGUGGUAUGUAGUAGUGCUGUGAUGUAGGGGUUAGUUGGUGUAUGUAUGUAGGGCUUAUGCAGAAGAAUUUAGGGUUAGUUUGGUGGUAUGUAGUAGCUCUGUAUAGAUGAAGGGUUAGUUGGUGGUAUGUAGUAGUGCUAUAUGCAAAGAUGUAGGGUUAGUUGGUGGUAUGUAGUAGCUCUGUAUAGAUGAAGGGUUAGUUGGUGGUAUGUAGUAGUGCUGUAUAGAUGUAGGGUUUGUUGGUGGUUGUAGUGCUGUAUAGAUGUAGGGUUAGUUGGUGUGGUAGUUGUGCUAAUAGCUGUAGGGUUAGUUGGUGGUAUGUAGUAGCUCUUAUAGUGAGGGUUGUGGUGGUGUGUGUUUCUAGUGUAUGUAGUUGGUGUAUGUAGUGCUCUUAUGAUGUGGGUUAGUUGGUGGUUGUAGUGGUGCUGUAUAGAUGUAGGGUUAGUUGGUGGUAUGUAGUGGGCGUAUAGAGGUAGGGUUAGUUGGUGGUAUGUAGUAGCUAUAUAGAUGUAGGUUAGUGGGGAUGUGUAGCUUAUAGAUGUAGGGUUAGUUGGUGGUAUGUAGUAGCUCUGUAUAGAGUUAGGGUUUGUUGGUGGUAUGUAGUAGUGCUGUAUAGAUGUAGGGUUAGUUGGUGGUAUGUAGUAGCUCUAUAUAGAUGUAGGGUUAGUUGGUGGUAUGUAGUAGCUCUAUAUAGAUGUAGGGUUAGUUGGUGGAUGUGUAGUGAUAUAUGCAGAAGAUUUAGGGUUAGUUGGUGGUAUGUAGUAGCUCUGUAUAGAUUUAGGGUUUAGUUGGUGGUAGUAGUAGCUGCGUAUGAUGUAGGGUAGUUGGUGUUCUGUAGAGCUCUAUAUGUGUAGGGUUGUUGGUGGUAUGUAGUAGCUCUAUGAUGUGGGUUAGUUGGUGGUUGUAGUGUGCUUAUGCAGUAGAUGUAGGGUUAGUUGGUGGUAUGUAGUAGUGCUGUAUGAUGUGGUUAGUUUGUGGUAUGUAGUGCUCUCUAUGAUGUAGGGUUAGUUGGUGUAGGUAGUAGCUCGUA
rnacentral:lncRNA from 1 species